rnacentral:rRNA from 1 species
UACAGAGGGUGCGAGCGUUGUCCGGAAUCACUGGGCGUAAAGGGCGCGUAGGUGGCGCCGCAAGUCCAUGGUGAAAGCUCGAUGCUCAACAUCGAGUCGGCCAUGGAGACUGCGGGGCUCGAGCACUGUAGGGGCAGAUGGAAUUCCGGGUGUAGCGGUGGAAUGCGUAGAGAUCCGGAAGAACACCGGUGGCGAAGGCGGUCUGCUGGGCAGUUGCUGACACUGAGGCGCGACAGCGUGGGGAGCAAACAGG